rnacentral:rRNA from 1 species
GAUGAACGCUGGCGGCGUGCCUAAUACAUGCAAGUCGAGCGAACAGACGAGGAGCUUGCUCCUCUGACGUUAGCGGCGGACGGGUGAGUAACACGUGGAUAACCUACCUAUAAGACUGGGAUAACUUCGGGAAACCGGAGCUAAUACCGGAUAAUAUAUUGAACCGCAUGGUUCAAUAGUGAAAGACGGUUUUGCUGUCACUUAUAGAUGGAUCCGCGCCGCAUUAGCUAGUUGGGAAGGUAACGGCUUACCAAGGCAACGAUGCGUAGCCGACCUGAGAGGGUGAUCGGCCACACUGGAACGGAGACACGGUCCAGACUCCUAAGGGAGGCAGCAGUAGGGAAUCUUCCGCAAAGGGCGAAAGCCUGACGGAGCAACGCCGCGUGAGUGAUGAAGGUCUUCGGAUCGUAAAACUCUGUUAUUAGGGAAGAACAAAUGUGUAAGUAACUAUGCACGUCUUGACGGUACCUAAUCAGAAAGCCACGGCUAACUACGUG